rnacentral:rRNA from 1 species
GAUGAACGCUAGCGGCAGGCUUAAUACAUGCAAGUCGAGGGGCAGCAGGUUUGUAGCAAUACAGACGCUGGCGACCGGCAAACGGGUGCGGAACACGUACAGAACCUUCCUUUAAGCGGGGAAUAGCCCAGAGAAAUUUGGAUUAAUACCCCAUAGUAUUGUUGAGUGGCAUCACUUGAUGAUUAAAGAUUUAUCACUUAAAGAUGGCUGUGCGGCUGAUUAGGUAGUUGGCGGGGUAACGGCCCACCAAGCCUUCGAUCAGUAACUGGUGUGAGAGCAUGACCAGUCACACGGGCACUGAGACACGGGCCCGACUCCUACGGGAGGCAGCAGUAAGGAAUAUUGGGCAAUGGACGGAAGUCUGACCCAGCCAUGCCGCGUGGAGGAUGAAGGUCCUCUGGAUUGUAAACUUCUUUUAUUUGGGAAGAAACCCGAUUUUUCUAAGUCGGUUGACGGUACCAGAUGAAUAAGCACCGGCUAACUCCGUGCCAGCCGCCGCUGUAAGAC